GACGAACGCUGGCGGCGUGCUUAACACAUGCAAGUCGAACGCGCCUGUCCUCUGGGUUUCUGGGGGGUGGGUGAGUGGCGAACGGGUGAGUAACACGUGAGUAACCUGCCCCCUUCUUCGGGAUAACGGUCUGAAAGGGCUGCUAAUACCGGGUAUUCACUGGUCUCCGCAUGGGGUCUGGUGGAAAGGUUUUUUUCUGGUGGGGGAUGGGCUCGCGGCCUAUCAGCUUGUUGGUGGGGUGAUGGCCCACCAAGGCUUUGACGGGUAGCCGGCCUGAGAGGGUGACCGGUCACAUUGGGACUGAGAUACGGCCCAGACUCCUACGGGAGGCAGCAGUGGGGAAUAUUGCACAAUGGGCGAAAGCCUGAUGCAGCGACGCCGCGGGAGGGAUGGAGGCCGUCGGGUUGUGAACCUCUUUCGCCCGUGGUCAAGCCGCGACGUGGGUCGUGGUGAGGGUAGUGGGUAAAGAAGCGCCGGCUAACUACGUG
rnacentral:rRNA from 1 species